UACGAAGGGAGCUAGCGUUGUUCGGAAUCACUGGGCGUAAAGCGCACGUAGGCGGCGUGUCGCGUCGGGAGUGAAAGACCGGGGCUUAACCCCGGUUCUGCUUCCGGUACGGGCAUGCUGGAGUGUGGCAGGGGAGACUGGAAUUCCUGGUGUAGCGGUGGAAUGCGCAGAUAUCAGGAGGAACACCGGUGGCGAAGGCGGGUCUCUGGGCCAUUACUGACGCUGAGGAGCGAAAGCGUGGGGAGCGAACAGG
rnacentral:rRNA from 1 species